UUUCGGCUGUCCAAAAGCCGAAAUUACUGAAGAGGCACACCUUCAUUGCCAGAAGUGCGGAUGCGGUUCUCCAAUUCCAAUCCAAGGCAGACAAAGCGGAGUAACGCGGGUUUAGCGUUGUUCCAUCGCCGCAUGAGUUUUCGCGUGAC
rfam:Ochrobactrum anthropi ATCC 49188 chromosome 2, complete sequence.